GGCGGCAUAGCCAAGUGGCUAAGGCAGAGGUCUGCAAAACCUUUAUCCCCGGUUCGAGUCCGGGUGCCGCCUCCA
rnacentral:tRNA from 1 species